rfam:Ictidomys tridecemlineatus contig099738, whole genome shotgun sequence.
GGUUAUAGCUCAAUGGUAGAGCACUUUCCUAACAUGGGUGAGGCUCUGGGUUCAAUCCCCAGCACCA